rnacentral:snRNA from 1 species
GGAUGUGAGGGCGAUCUGGCUGUGACAUCUGUCACCCCAUUGAUCGCCAGGGUUGAUUCGGCUGAUCUGGCUGGCUAGGCGGGUGUCCCCUUCCUCCCUCACCGCUCCAUGUGCGUCCCUCCCGAAGCUGCGCGCUCGGUCGAAGAGGACGACCAUCCCCGAUAGAGGAGGACCGGUCUUCGGUCAAGGGUAUAUGAGUAGCUGCGCUCCCCUGCUAGAACCUCCAAACAAGCUCUCAAGGUCCAUUGAUAUUCUUCCUACUUUAAUCACAGGCUCUGUGUUUUGUGCUGUGCCAAGUAUUCUGU